AUUGAACGCUGGCGGAAUGCUUUACACAUGCAAGUCGAACGGCAGCACGGGUGCUUGCACCUGGUGGCGAGUGGCGAACGGGUGAGUAAUGCACCGGAACGUAUCCAAUAAUGGGGGAUAACGCACCGAAAGGUGUGCUAAUACCGCAUACGCCCUGAGGGGGAAAGCGGGGGAUCGUAAGACCUCGCGUUAAUGGAGCGGCCGAUGCCGGAUUAGCUAGUUGGUGAGGUAAAGGCUCACCAAGGCGACGAUCCGUAGCUGGUCUGAGAGGACGACCAGCCACACUGGAACUGAGACACGGUCCAGACUCCUACGGGAGGCAGCAGUGGGGAAUUUUGGACAAUGGGCGCAAGCCUGAUCCAGCCAUUCCGCGUGAGUGAAGAAGGCCUCGGGUUG
rnacentral:rRNA from 1 species